rnacentral:rRNA from 1 species
AGAGUUUGAUCCUGGCUCAGGAUGAACGCUAGCUACAGGCUUAACACAUGCAAGUCGAGGGGCAGCAUGGUCUUAGCUUGCUAAGGCCGAUGGCGACCGGCGCACGGGUGAGUAACACGUAUCCAACCUGCCGUCUACUCUUGGACAGCCUUCUGAAAGGAAGAUUAAUACAAGAUGGCAUCAUGAGUCCGCAUGUUCACAUGAUUAAAGGUAUUCCGGUAGACGAUGGGGAUGCGUUCCAUUAGAUAGUAGGCGGGGUAACGGCCCACCUAGUCUUCGAUGGAUAGGGGUUCUGAGAGGAAGGUCCCCCACAUUGGAACUGAGACACGGUCCAAACUCCUACGGGAGGCAGCAGUGAGGAAUAUUGGUCAAUGGGCGAGAGCCUGAACCAGCCAAGUAGCGUGAAGGAUGACUGCCCUAUGGGUUGUAAACUUCUUUUAUAAAGGAAUAAAGUCGGGUAUGCAUACCCGUUUGCAUGUACUUUAUGAAUAAGGAUCGGCUAACUCCGUGCCAGCAGCCGCGGUAAUACGGAGGAUCCGAGCGUUAUCCGGAUUUAUUGGGUUUAAAGGGAGCGUAGAUGGAUGUUUAAGUCAGUUGUGAAAGUUUGCGGCUCAACCGUAAAAUUGCAGUUGAUACUGGAUAUCUUGAGUGCAGUUGAGGCAGGCGGAAUUCGUGGUGUAGCGGUGAAAUGCUUAGAUAUCACGAAGAACUCCGAUUGCGAAGGCAGCCUGCUAAGCUGCAACUGACAUUGAGGCUCGAAAGUGUGGGUAUCAAACAGGAUUAGAUACCCUGGUAGUCCACACGGUAAACGAUGAAUACUCGCUGUUUGCGAUAUACAGCAAGCGGCCAAGCGAAAGCGUUAAGUAUUCCACCUGGGGAGUACGCCGGCAACGGUGAAACUCAAAGGAAUUGACGGGGGCCCGCACAAGCGGAGGAACAUGUGGUUUAAUUCGAUGAUACGCGAGGAACCUUACCCGGGCUUAAAUUGCAGAUGAAUUACGGUGAAAGCCGUAAGCCGCAAGGCAUCUGUGAAGGUGCUGCAUGGUUGUCGUCAGCUCGUGCCGUGAGGUGUCGGCUUAAGUGCCAUAACGAGCGCAACCCCUAUCGACAGUUACUAACGGGUGAAGCCGAGGACUCUGUCGAGACUGCCGGCGCAAGCCGCGAGGAAGGUGGGGAUGACGUCAAAUCAGCACGGCCCUUACGUCCGGGGCGACACACGUGUUACAAUGGCAGGUACAGAAGGCAGCCAGUCAGCAAUGACGCGCGAAUCCCGAAAACCUGUCUCAGUUCGGAUUGGAGUCUGCAACCCGACUCCAUGAAGCUGGAUUCGCUAGUAAUCGCGCAUCAGCCAUGGCGCGGUGAAUACGUUCCCGGGCCUUGUACUCACCGCCCGUCAAG